rnacentral:rRNA from 1 species
UACGAAGGGAGCUAGCGUUGUUCGGAAUCACUGGGCGUAAAGGGCGCGCAGGCGGCUCUGAAAGUCAGAUGUGAAAGCCCCGGGCUUAACCUGGGAAUUGCAUUUGAUACUCUGGAGCUUGAGUACGGGAGAGGAGAGUGGAAUUCCCAGUGUAGAGGUGAAAUUCGUAGAUAUUGGGAAGAACACCGGUGGCGAAGGCGGCUCUCUGGACCGUAACUGACGCUGAGGCGCGAAAGCGUGGGGAGCAAACAGG